rnacentral:rRNA from 1 species
UACGAAGGGGGCUAGCGUUGCUCGGAAUCACUGGGCGUAAAGGGUGCGUAGGCGGGUUAUUAAGUCAGAGGUGAAAUCCUGGAGCUCAACUCCAGAACUGCCUUUGAUACUGAUAGUCUUGAGUAUGGGAGAGGUGAGUGGAACUGCGAGUGUAGAGGUGAAAUUCGUAGAUAUUCGCAAGAACACCAGUGGCGAAGGCGGCUCACUGGCCCAUUACUGAUGCUGAGGCACGAAAGCGUGGGGAGCAAACAGG